rnacentral:rRNA from 1 species
GACGAACGCUGGCGGCGUGCCUAAUACAUGCAAGUCGAACGCAGUGGGGACGGGUGAGUAACACGUGGGUAACCUCCCAUCAGAGGGGAUAACACUUGGAAACAGGUGCUAAACCGAUACUGAUGGAUGGACCCGCGGUGCAUUAGCUAGUUGGUGAGGGAACGGCUCACCAAGGCCACGAUGCAGAGCCGACCUGAGAGGGUGAUCGGGCACCAUGGAACUGAGACACUGCCCAGACUCCUACGUGACGAAGCAGUAGGGAAUCUGUGGAAAUCGACGAAAGUCUGACCGAGCAACGCCGCGGGAGUGAAGAAGGUUUUCGGAUCGUAAAACUCUGUUGUUAGAGAAGCGGUAUCUACCCAGAAAGCCACGGCUAACUACGUGCCAGCAGCCGCGGUAAUAC